GUGGGUAACCUGCCUGUAAGACUGGGAUAACUCCGGGAAACCGGAGCUAAUACCGGAUAGUUCCUUGAACCGCAUGGUUCAAGGAUGAAAGACGGUUUCGGCUGUCACUUACAUAUGGACCCGCGGCGCAUUAUCUAGUUGGUGAGGUAACGGCUCACCAAGGUGACGAUGCGUAGCCGACCUGAGAGGGUGAUCGGCCACACUGGGACUGAGACCCGGCCCACACUCCUACUGGAGGCAGCAGUAGGGAAUCUUCGGCAAUGGACGAGAGUCUGACGGAGAAACGCCGCGGGAGUGAUGAAGGUUUUCGGAUCGUAAAGCUCUGUUGUUAGGGAAGAACAAGUGCAAGAGUAACUGCUUGCACCAUGACGGUACCUAACCCUAAAGCCACGGCUAACUACGUGCCACCAGCCGCGGUAAUACGUAGGUGGCAAGCGUUGUCCGGAAUUAUUGCG
rnacentral:rRNA from 1 species